AGCCUCCUCCUUUGCUUUGGCUUGUCUAGUGGGCAUCAGCCUUGAGAGGAGCAAGCAAAGUGGCAGCAGCUUCCAUCACAACUCACAAAAUUGUCCAAGUUGUAGCUCAGGGCUGGCCGGACUGAGCCCAACUCCCAGAAGAUGUAUCAUUGCUGCCAAUAUCAUUGAAUACAUGGAGGCAGCAGAGGAAGAUGGAUAUGCAUCACGUGCAUCGGUGCAUGAACACGUCUUCCCGAUGGCCAGACAUGUCUCUACAGCAGGUCUCUUCGUCACUCCUAAUCAACCCCACGUCCUCACGCAGCCAAUGUGAACUUCUCACCCCGCACAUCGCAGCUUUCCGCCCGGUGGUUCUCUCCUGCUCCUGGGAACGGAAAUAUAAUCAAGAAGCACAAGCACAAGUGCAUUCUCGAAGUCGAAGGUGACAGACUGACAGCCACCAGUUGAGCCGCAUCUUAAUAUCCGCAACGGUUCACCUGGUUUUACCGAGACAGCUUUGGCUCAUUAAUGGUUACAGGCAAGCAGCAACAGCAAGCUCCCACGAAGAUAUGUAGUGUAUAUGCACUCGGGAGGUCAAGAAGGUGGCACACUGCAGUAUUUAUAUGAAGCAACAACCGCAAGGUAGAACAAAAAAUCAUGCUCAUUCUCAAAUGAAAGAACUUAUGUGUACAUGACUUACCAGUACUAUAUUUCUAAUUGUUGAUCAAUAUUUUAAAAAAAAUAUUUUCUAUAACUCUCUACGACUUUACCACCAUUGAACGGAAAAUACGUGAAAAUCAUUUACUGAAAUCUUACAUAUAUAGCAGAAAUAGUAAAUAAUGACUACCCCGUGCGAAUGCACGGGUUGACGGCUAGUCUGAUCUAAACAAAAUCAAACCAAUUAGCGUGUCGACCAGCAGGAUUUUCGUUGGUAAACUAAUGGGCGUCACCUAUACAUGAUGAUGAGUUUUACCGGCAAUGAUCAUGAGAUAUAAGACGGCCGGCCUCUACGUGUACAUGUACUGUACAUACCUACUACUACUACUGUUGAUGACUAGGAAACUCUGGUAGGAAUUAAAAAUGAUUUUCUUGAAACAGAAAUAACAACAAUGUGCUUUUCAAAAAGCAACAACACAAUGGAUCAUCGACUUUCUACUGUUUAUCUGUCCCCUCAUUUGUGGCACGUACGGGCACACCAAGAGCUAGAUCAUACUGUUCUGAACGUGUGCUAUGGUCGGGGGCAUGCAUAUAACAUACCCAGAGAACAGCACGUCGUUGUAGUAGACACUGUGCAAGAACGCUUUGCAACACUGGUGUUCUGAUGAACGAUCCAUCUGGUAGGUGCAGCGGUGCAGGUUUAAUUCGUGUGGGAAAUAUUAGAGGCAUGCAUCUUCCCGGUAAAGCUGUUGUUUGGUGGCAAAGAUCGGUCCAGCGAGCACAACAAAUUUCGGGUGGGUUUACAUCAUGCUGGACGUACCAUAUGCAUUCUAUCUAUCUAGCUGGAACCCAACUCAGACGCAACGCAUCCUCUAGAUCCACAGCGGCUCGACCUGGCUGGUCCUGCUGCAGAUUCGAUGUAGCGACGCAGCUAGCACCAAACGCGCGCUUUAUCGACUGGGCAUGUUUGUCAGCACGUACAAGCCCUGCCCACGAGGAGCAGGAGAGCGAAUAUUUGCUCCUUUUUCUGCCUUGUCCCCUCAGUCGCCGUCGUCGUCGCCGCCAUGGCUGGCGUGGUGCGUGUCGGAGUGUCCAUGCACGCACGCGUACUCGAACCAUGUAGACGCCACCGGCAGCAGGUGUAGCA